rnacentral:rRNA from 1 species
GUCAAGUACAAAGAGCAUCGGGUGGAUGCCUUGGCACUGGGAGCCGAAGAAGGACGUGAUAAGCUGCGAUAAGCUGCGGUAAGGAGCACAUAUCCGAUAUACCCGCAGAUUUCCGAAUGGGGGAACCCACAUACGGUAAUGCGUAUGUAUCAUUAAGUGAAUACAUAGCUUAAUGAAGGGAACGGGGUGAACUGAAACAUCUAAGUAGCCCUAGGAAGAGAAAGAAAAAUCGAUUUCCUGAGUAGCGGCGAGCGAAAGGGAAAGAGGCCAAACCAAAUUGUUUACAGUUUGGGGUUGUGGACCACCGACAUUGACGAAGUUAUGCGAGCCGAAUAGGGUUGGAAAGCUCAAGCAGAGAAGGUAAUACUCCUGUAGGCGAAGCAGAAAGCGCAUAGGUGGCACCAGAGUAGGACCGGACACGUGUAACCCGGUCUGAAGCAGGAGGGACCACCCUCCAAGCCUAAAUACUACCCAGUGACCGAUAGCGAAUAGUACCGUGAGGGAAAGGUGAAAAGAACCCCGGGAGGGGAGUGAAAUAGAAUCUGAAACCUGAUGCUUACAAGCAUAGGGAGCGCAAGUGACCUAGUACUUUUUGUAGAACGGGCCAACGAGUUAUGGUAUGUAGCGAGGUUAAGUUGCUGGAGCAACGGAGCCGUAGAGAAAUCGAGUCUGAAUAGGGCGAGAGUUACAUGCUGUAGACCCGAAACCGGGUGACCUAUCCAUGAGCAGGUUGAAGUAACCGUAAAAGGUUAUGGAGGACCGAACCUAUAUCUGUUGAAAAAGGUUAGGAUGACUUGUGGAUAGCGGUGAAAUUCCAAUCGAACUCGGAUAUAGCUGGUUCUCCUCGAAAUAGCUUUAGGGCUAGCCUCAAGGUAAAGAUACACGGGGGUAGAGCACUGACUGUUCGCGGGGCCUUCACCGGUUACCAACAACUAUCAAACUCCGAAUACCGUGCUAUCAUACUUGGGAGUCAGACUAUGAGAGAUAAGUUCCAUGGUCGAAAGGGAAACAGCCCAGAUCAACAGCUAAGGUCCCAAAGAGUAAGUUAAGUGGAAAAGGAUGUGGGAUUGCACAAACAGCUAGGAUGUUGGCUUAGAAGCAGCCAUACAUUUAAAGAGUGCGUAAUAGCUCACUAGUCGAGUGAUCCUGCGCCGAAGAUAAACGGGGCUCAAACUUACCACCGAAGCUUUGGAAUUAGUAUAACUAAUUGGUAGAGGAGCAUUCUAUACAGGUAGAAGGAGGCGCGUAAGCAAAUCUGGACGGUAUAGAAGAGAGAAUGUUGGCAUGAGUAGCGUAAGGCGGGUGAGAAUCCCGUCCGCCGAAAAUCUAAGGUUUCCUGAGGAAGGUUCGUCCUCUCAGGGUAAGUCGGGACCUAAGCCGAGAGCGAACGCUGUAGGCGAUGGACAACAGGUUGAUAUUCCUGUACCACCAAGGAUUGUUUGAAUGAAGUGGGGACACAGAAGGAUAGAUUGAGCACGCCGUUGGUUGAGCGUGUCCAAGCAGCAAGGCUUGAAAGUAGGCAAAUCCGCUUUCUACAAGGCUGAGCUGUGAUGGGGUGGUCGAAUGACCGGUAGCAAUCGAUUUCACGCUGUCAAGAAAAGCCGCUAAUGAGAUCCAAGGUGCCCGUACCGCAAACCGACACAGGUAGAUGAGGAGAGAAUCCUAAGGUGAGCGAGCGAACUAUUGUUAAGGAACUCGGCAAAAUAACCCCGUAACUUCGGGAGAAGGGGUGCCUGCUUCGGCAGGCCGCAGUGAAGAGGUCCAGGCAACUGUUUACCAAAAACACAGGUCUCUGCUAAAGCGAAAGCUGAUGUAUAGGGGCUGACGCCUGCCCGGUGCUGGAAGGUUAAGGGGAAGUGUUAGGGCAACCGAAGCACAGAACUUAAGCCCCAGUAAACGGCGGCCGUAACUAUAACGGUCCUAAGGUAGCGAAAUUCCUUGUCGGGU